UACGUAGGUGGCAAGCGUUGUCCGGAAUUACUGGGUGUAAAGCGCGUGUAGGCGGGAGGCCAAGUCUGCUGUGAAAUCGCUCGGCUCAACUGGGCGGGGUCGGUGGAAACUGGUCACCUGGAGGACGGUAGAGGCGAGUGGAAUUCCUGGUGUAGCGGUGAAAUGCGCAGAUAUCAGGAGGAACACCAGUGGCGAAGGCGGUGCUCUGGGCCGGAACUGACGCUGAGGAGCGAAAGCAUGGGGAGCGAACAGG
rnacentral:rRNA from 1 species